ACUGUAGAGUUGUGAACAGAGGCAUGACCUGUCCCUUGUUUUUCUAGAGAUCAUUCUAGAUGCCAUAUAUGCAGUGACUUGGAGGAUCCGGUGGUCUUUUUGGGAGAUGCUGAAGCCUGAACCCGAAUGAGGGAGAUGCAAGGUUCUGGACAAGUGGGAAUGACAGGGCCUGCUGUAAGGACCUGAGCAGGUUGGGAAGGCUUCGAUGAAGUAAGUCAGGAAGGGCCUGAGCAUCUUCUGCAAGGAAACCAUUCAGCCCGAGAGAGAGGGACAACCUGAAGUCAGCCCCCACCUCACUCCAUCAAGGGGGUUAAGGGUUCUGCCUGAGUGCAAGGUCUUGUCUGGUGAGGAUCUCACGUGAUGCCCCCUCCCUACCUCGAGCCAGGAUCCUUGCCAGCCCACUGACUUAUUGCUGUGAUGUGCGUCUGAUUCUGCAAAGGUAUGGAGAGAAGUCAUUUUGUAGAAUUUGUAAGAGGAAAACAU
rnacentral:lncRNA from 1 species